rnacentral:misc_RNA from 1 species
UUUCCGUAGGUGAACCUGCGGAAGGAUCAUUAUCGUAAAACCGAGGUGCGAGGGCUGUCGCUGACCUUUUCGGUCGUGCACGCCCGAGCGCUCUCACACAAUCCAUCUCACCCUUUGUGCACCACCGCGUGGGUCCCUUUCUGGCUCGUCCGGAGGGGGGCUCGCGUUUUCACACAAACUUGAAGUAGUGUAGAAUGUCCUUUUUUUGCGAUAACACGCAAUCAAUACAACUUUCAACAACGGAUCUCUUGGCUCUC